rnacentral:sRNA from 1 species
UUCAACUCAAAUUGAUGCACCUGCCACUCAGCAAUUCAUCUGGACUAUAGAGCACACACCUUUGCUGAAUACUCACCAUUCUAGAAAAGAGUUCAAAAGUGAAAAAUUCAAGAAGGAUCAGAAUCAAGAGAUGAUCAGCAGUGCCUCUACUCAAGAAACAUACAAGAAGAAAGUCAUCCAAGAAAAGCUUGAUGAUCCCGGUUCAUUCACUCUACCAUGCUCUCUAGGACCAUUGACAUUCAAUAGGUGCCUUUGUGAUUUGGGAGCAUCUCUUAGCCUUAUGCCUCUCUCUACAGCUAAAAGGCUAAGGAUCAUGGAAUUCAAGUUCUGAAACUUAGCCUUACUCUUAGCUGAUGGUUCUGUUGCACAUCCUCAUGGUCUAGUAGAGAAUCUGCCUGUCAAGAUUGGAAAUGUUGAGAUACCUACAGACUUUGGGGUAUUGGACGUAGAUGAAGAAGGCAAGGAUCCCCUGAUCCUAGGCAGACCAUUCUUAGCUUCAGCUGGAGCAGUCAUAGACGUCAGGAAUGGAAAAAUUAAUCUGAACCUUGAAAAAGGCAUCAAGAUGAAGUUUGACAUCAGAGAAGCUUCAAAGAAAUCAACAACAGGAGGUCAGAGUUUUGGAAUUCAAGAUAUGGAUGUUGAUGAAGAAACAGAAGCUGAAACCUCACCAAAAGUCAACUAUACUUCUCAACUCAGCAAGCUGAAGAGAACUUUUGACCACAAGAAGAGAGAAACAGAAAGGCUAUCUCAGACUGAAGAUCCUGAAGAAGAUGACUGGUAUGAGAUGAGAAAAAAAUUUAAAUGGCAAAGCAGAGUCAUAGACGGAUUGUCUUCAAGGGUGAUGAAGCUGAAAGAUCAACUUUGGAUAUUUGAAAAAAGAGUUAAAAAGUUUUCAGAUGGUAUUGACCCAGAGAAGAUGGAAACUGCACUAGCUAUCAAGAAGGACGAAAAUUUCACAACAGAAUGGUUUGCACCAGAAGAUCAGAAAGGAGUUCACUUAGAGGAAAGAAGCUUAGGGAGCAAGUUGUUGAGUGAGGAGGAAACUCCUAUUUUGACUUAUUCUCUAGGAGUGCCUAAACAGCCCACCAACCCCUCUGCUGAAGAGGAACACUUGACACUUGAUUCUGUUACUGAAGAACUUGUGGAACUCAGGAUAGAAUACAAAGCUCAAGAGGAUACCAUUGGAGAGCUAACUUACAAAAUGGAAGGACUGAACCAUGCAAUCUUGGAACUUCAAAAAAUGGUUACAGGCUACACCAGUUUUGAAUUUGAGGAUUGGUCAAAAGAACUUGGUUCAGAAGAAGAAGACUACUCUGCUGCUCAGAAAAAUCUUAUUUUGAAGAAAAAUCAAAUGAGUACUCAUCCUACCAUAUCUCAAGAGAGGAUGUAGAGUAUGACUCAAGCACUGAAAAUUCAUCCACUGAAGAUAAGGACUUCUCUGUUCCUCUCUUCAACCUUUUUCUUACUAAGCACUGUAAGAGUCAAGCUUAAUGACUUAAAACAAGCUCACUUGGGAGGAAGUCCCAUGUCUAUCCAUGUAAAUAACUUUCUAUUUUUCUUGUUAUUUUUGAUGUUUUUGUUUAAGUGUUUUAGGUUUGUUUUAGUGACCCUAAGAGAGUCAACGGUCGAGUAAAUUCAAACCAAGUCAAGAAAAAUCUCAACCGUUGAUCGAGUAGAAUGAGGAGGAGUAUUUUGAGCCAUUGAUUUGGAUGACCAAAUGAGAGGAGCAUUACCGUCGUUGGAUCGAGUGACUUUCAGAAGUUAAUUUUGGUCCGUUUGAUCGAGUAAACAAGAAAGAAAAGUUCCCCGUCGUUGGAUCAAAUUUUUCGCACUUCAAGAGGAUGCUCGAUCCUUUGCUCGAGCUCUCAUUAUUUGAAGACCAUGGCAUAACUUCGUGACCCCACUUGUUCCCCCAACACUCUUUUACUCAAUGGACAAAGCGAUUACCCAUGCCCCUCACCAUUUAUAAUCAACUUUUCUAUCCCUUCCCAAAGAAACCAAACACCAAUCUCCUCCACCCAUUGAAUUCGACAAACCCACUUUUGAAACUCUCUCUUUCAUCAUCUCAUUUUCGCAACCUCUCCAUCUCUCACAAAGCUUCGAAGUUUCACUCCAAACUCUCCCUAUCACUCUUCACGAAUUCGUUCUCACUUCAUCAUACUUCACCAAAGUUACUCGAUCACUUCCAAGCUCAUCCUCAAGCACUCAAUCGGUUUCAAGCUCCAAAUUUCAUCACCAAAUAAACUGAUCCCCUUACCCCUUGAUACCUCUUGGAGAGUUGUUUUUAAUUGCUUGGUUGAAACUCACCACCAUGGAUUCAAGAAGGAAGAGUUCGUCUCGGGCAAGAAGAUCCUCUGUCGAUCAUGAAGAAGUUGAUGCGUUUGACAUGAGUGGCAUGACUGAACGCCAAAUUCGCCAAGCUCGCCGUGCUCAAAGAACAAACUUGAUUCAAGGAGGAAGCUCAAGCCGCUCAACCAUGCAAAGAGAAGAAGUAGCUCGGGGAAAGAGGGUGGUUGAAGCUGAAGAAGAACACCAUGAAGAGGCGCCCUUUGAAGAAGCGGUUUCUGAAGAAGAGGUUGAGAUCAUCGGAGAUGAUACACCAACCCCUGUUGGGAGAAGAAACCGACCAAGGAGGAAGAGAGAACCAACCCCGAGCGAGUACUAUCAAUAUUUGAAGGAGUUGAAGUUUGAGGGAACUAGAUACCCUCAUAAGGAAAUGAUGCAAGAGCUUGGUAUUUGUGGUGAUGUGGAAUACUUGAUGGAAUUGGCCAAUCUUGCAACAUUCAUGAGCUGCCAAUGUGGGGGAUACAAAGAGGAGAGCUGCCAACUCCUUGCAACCCUCAAGGUCCAUUUUUGUGUUGAUGAUUCGGAGAAGGAAGAGAGAGUAGGUCUUGGUUACAUAACUUUCAAGGUUAGGGGUGUCGAGUAUACUCUUGAUAUAUGCAAUCUUGAUACCAUUUUCGGGUUCCCUAGUGGAGAAGGAAUCCGCCAAGACUAUGAUCAAGAAGAGCUGAAAUCCCUUUGGAAAACAAUAGCCGGUCUGAAACCCUUCUCACCAACCAAGAGCAAGAGUUCUUCAAUCUGUAAUCCCGUGAUUAGAUACCUCCACCAAUGCAUCGCCAACACCCGUUUUCCAAAGAAGGCCACCGGAUUUGUUAGUGAAGAAGAGCUAUGCAUGAUAGACCAAUCUUUGGUCUUCAUUUUGAGGGAGACAUGAGAUGGGAGGAAGAUGGUGGGGGAUAGAGCGGACACUUCGUUGAGUGUUGUUCUCUUGGAUCACUUAUUGAGUUACAAGGAGUAUGCUGCAACUAUCCAUCGCUCGGGAAUUCGUGGGAGUUUUUGUGUUGGUAGUCUCUUAACGCCAAUACUAGGAGCUGUGGGUAUGGAACUUGGAGCCCCUGACGUGUUGCCCAAGUUCAUUGACCUCGACUAUCUCAAGGGGAGGAAUUUUCUUGAGAAAACAACUCCGGCGGAUCGCUAUCUCUUCAACUUCAACCACUCGGAGCUUGGACCUUCUCUUCUACCCCUACUAUGUGAGAACCGGACUUCGGUGAAGACAAGACGCAACAUCAAUUUCAUGCCAUCUCCCUCUGCCUUGAACAUCGACAUUGGAGGAGCUCAGGAAGAUGAAUCAGAAUAUAGUCCGGCCAACUAUGAGCAACAUGAGUACUUUACUCAAGCUGAUUAUGAGGAGCAAAUCGAGUUUGAACAACAUGUUGAUCAACCGGAGCAUGGGGGUAGCGAACAAGAGUAAGCUCAUUAUGAAGAAGGUGUUAACCAAGGAGAAGAUGAGUUUGCUGAAGUUCACAAGAAGCUCGGUGUACUUGAAGAGCUUGGGAACCUUCACAGCAAGACAAUGAAGGGUUUAGAGAAGAAGAUGAGAACAAUGAAGAAGUCGCUCAAGAGUAUGGCUGCUCAACUCAAGGACUUCCAGAGCAACCCAAGGCCACCAUCUCCAACCGCCGAAGUAAGAAGGAGCGGUUCAACGAGCUCAGCUGCAAGGAGAGCUGAAAGGAUCGUCAACCCCGAGCUUCAUCUUUUGAGCCUCGGGAAGUGAUCUCCGAGUUGAGAGAGCCAAGGAGCAGGCAGAGACGAGCUUCCACACGCUCGAUCGGACAGAACGAGCAAUACCCUCCCGCCUCAACUUCAGCCCCUGCCUAUACCCAAGAGAGUAUGGAUGACUAUGUCUCCAUCUACUUCACCUGAAAACUGAGGUAACACCACCUCUCCAUUGUAUAUACCAUAGCAUCUUUUUAUUUUUCUUUGUGUGUUUUGUGCUUUGGUCUUGAAUGCUCUUUCAGAUUUUUAUUACACUAGGGACUAUGUAAUUUAAGAUUGGGGAGGGUUCAAGACAUGUUUAACAUUGUGUUCUCUUUUCUUAUUUCAAAUUUUGCAUCAUCUAAGGCAUAGAAAAACCAUAAAAAUUUGAAAUAUUUUCAGAAAAUGAUUUCAUAAAAAAGAGUGUCAUGUAGAUUGCAUAUCAUUUUAGGAUUGUAUAUAGAGUGUUUGCAUUUAGGAUUGCUCAUUUGCAUAGGGGAUGAUGAUGAUUUCAAAUCGAUAA